UUAAAUAAGGAGAUAAAUUAAAAUUAGUAAUAAACCAAUAGCAGGAGGGGUGCAAGCAAAGCACAGGAGGGUGAUGGUACCCAAACCAUUAAUUGGGUCAGGCCCAAAACACAAUCCAAUUAUCAAAACUCACUAACUAUACUAAUCAUGUAAUUAAUCCCUAUUAAAAAAUGCAUAAAGAAGAAAAGAAAAAAAAGUUUAGCACAAGAUUUUCUCAACCAAUCAGAAUAGGCAAGGAGUUUUUAGAGCUGGAUCACCUUAUCCAUCGCUUCAGUACCUACACAUCCCCAGCAGAACAAAUCACUCAAUGGAUCGCUUCAAAACCCACUUCUAAAUCACGUUGUUCGCAACUUUCACACUUAUGUUAACUUCCCCUGCAUCGUCCAUGUCAUGAUCGUCUCCGCCUUCAUGAUGAUGCAUCGUCGGCCACGAAACUCAGCGCAAAGAUGGUGAUGAUGAAGUUUCAAAAUUUGUACUGUAUAGCUACUGGUGAUGGUUGAGUUGCAACAUUUGUUGACAUGGAUGAUUCGGUUUAGAUAUGGGGAGGUUAUGUACCAAAAAACUUAUUCAAGCAUUAUAAUGAGUCGGGUUUGCUGGCGGUUGUAGCUGUUGGGGGUGGAAGGAAGUAGGUGGUUGGUUUUUUUUGCAGAAGUUGUUAGGUUUUUGUAUGGAUCUAACGGCGGUGAAGCGAAGUGAUGGCGGUAAAGAACAACGAGGUUUAAUAGUGACGGUUGAAGCCGGAGGAGACGGUCGUUGAGGGUUUGAGAGGUGAGGUGCGGUUGUGAAAUGGAGAUGGUUGACGAACGGAGGGAGCUAGCGGAUGUAUUCGGUUCAGUGGCCGGUCAUUUGGAGUGGGUUGUGGAAGGAGAUUUUCGGUGAGGGUUUCGUGGUGGUAGAUCAGAGAGAAAAAAGGUCGCGUGGUUUGAAGGUGAUGGUGGCGAGGGUUUGACGGCGGAAUGUUUAUGAGGGGUUGUGUCGUUAGCGGUGGUGAGUGGUUGAUGGUCGAUUGAAGAAGAAAAAGGAGAUGGUGAUGGUUCUGUGUGUGGGAAGUAGAUCGGAGGGUUUGAACAGACGGGGUAUGGUUGAAGUGGGAUUUCGGCAAGGUAACAGUAUAUUUGUUCUUUUUCCUUCCCAAUGAUUCGACGCAUCCUUUUAUAGGCGAAGUUUGUGGUCCCUCUGAGUAUAAGCUGGCUCGGAUUGCAUAAUUAUUCGGUUAGAAUUGGAUCAUUCCCAGAUUUGGUGGGGACCAAAUACGUGACAGGAUCUCAUUGGCGGCAUGACAAGUCCUUAUUCUCUGCCUUGGUUGUGAAGCGGCUUACGUUUUGAAUUGAGAUUAGAGUGUGAGCAUCUAAGAAGGGUGAAAACGAUGGUGGACGUUAGCAUUCGUCCGCUUUCCGAGGCUUGGAUUUGUUUUUGAGAAGAAUUUCGGUUGAAUUUCCCCUGUGAAACUUUACUUGUUAGCUUCUUGAUUUUGGUUGAAAAUCCAACUUUCUGUAUGCAUUGCCGGUGUUUGUUUUUAUUUACUUUGGCUUGAUCUCUUGGCUCUCAUCAAGUCAAUUGUUCAUGCUGCUGGAUUGUACAUGUUUGUGUGUAUGAAUUACUAUUAUGUAACCUUUACUCACACACUUGAUUUUGCAGGUUGCACUUGUGAAAUUAGUUUGCAGGUUCAACAGUACUGAAUGGAUCUCCUCUUGCAAGCUUAAGUUUAUUUUUGAAAGUGGUAUUUGAGAAGAGUGAACUUAUUAGCUCAUUAUGCAUUCCUGUUCUUCGGAUAACUUGCAGGAAAGGCCCCCAUUAGGUUGAAGCAAUUUCGUCUGCUAUUUGGAUGAGUCAGAGAUUUUGAUGUUACCACUGAUGUGUUGUAGAGUACUGAUUAUCUCAUUCCUAUUGGUAAGCCUGUGGUACUAUCUGGCGGCAAUCCUCCAAGAAGAUUGACAAAUGCUGCAGAUUAUGCUGCAGUAGAAAGCAAUUUAGCCGACGACUGUCGUGGGCCCUGCCCUUGAUUAAUAAUCCAACUCAAUUGCAGCUAAAUUUCCAACAGAUGUGCCCUCCACAAUGCUCACUUGACUAGCUGGAUUGGGCAUGGGGGAACCAAAUGGUGGUUCUGAUGAUUUCCACUCAGAAAACGCGGACCUUGAUCAAUUUUAAGUGAAUCAGGUUAAGAUGCAUUUAAUAACUCAAAAUGCACCUGCAGUUGGUGAUGGUUGGGAGCAACGGCAGCAGGCUGUGCUGGUGUAGCUAUAUGACCUGAAAUAUACGGGGAAACCGGUGGCUUGGGUGGUUCGCUUGGAUCUAUACCAGAUCCAAAACAUAAAGCUUGCCCCUGCAUCAUUUGUGUGUUUUGAUUAACUUUCUCAACAGGUUGGCUUCCUGAAGCAGUUGCCUUUCCUUUGCCAAUCGGAUUGCAUAUGCCUGUUGUGAAUUUGAGGCAUGGUUUUGUAUAUGAUGUACUGAUGCUUAGGUCAUGUACUUUGGUCAUUGUAUUGUGUAUGUCAGCAUGUGAGUUGGUUUUUGGUUGUAAUGAGAAUGGACAAGGUUUA